GUGACAUUCACUUAUAAACACUCACAUGUAAGCAACAUCUUAACCUAAGAUGAGACUCUCUUCCUCACAUGAAACAUAAAAGGUGGACUACUACCUUAGGGCCAGAUCAGGCAGCACAUCUAAAAAUUAAAUUCUAGACUGGUCAGACUCGGACUGGGGAGAGAACGAUUUCGGUGGUUUCAGUAUCUUUGUCUUCCGCCAAUAUUUUUAUUUUCUUGCAGUAUAAAUAUCCCUAAAGGAAGAGAUCUCACUGCAUGUAACUCUUUUUUUCUGUUGAGUCAUUUGGCUUGUUUAUGUAUCCUAUGUAGAGGUGUAGUUUUACAAAAUGCCUACUGCAUGCACGAAGAACUCCCCUCUGAACAGAUCCUCUACCUGAGCAUCAGGGAAAGAAAGAAAUGUGUAACUGAUGACAUUUCAAGGGCAAGGAAAACAACUGUUCAGAGGAGAAUUAGCUGAUUUGGUUGGUGUUUAUUUUUACUUCUAUCUAGCAAUCUGCUCUCCAACAGAAGAUGCUUAUUUGCAGCAGAGAAGGCUGUCUCCUGUUUGGACUGGCGCCCGAUCUGGAGAAAAGGUGUGACUAAGGACAAGAGGUAUGUCUUAAGCAUGUAUUGGCUAAUGGAAAAGGGUCCUGGGGUGGGAAGGGAUAUUGUAUGUGUCAUGUAUGAUAGCUAAUGACGGAUAAAUUCUGCAUUUCUUCCCAUCAUGCUUCUCAUCCACUACCAUAUAUUAAAUCUGCCUUACACUCAGGAGUGUGUAUUCCAAACUAAGAUAUUCCACAUCUGGAAUUUUAGAAUUAAUUAUUCAUCAAGAACUUGUGUAGAGAAGCUCUAAGGUAUAGCUCAGUUAAUUUAUUUUACACAUGCUUACUGCCAAGUUGGAGGGCAUAACAAUUUCACAAGUCUUUUCCUUUCAAGAACUGUUUGGAGAAACUUUUACAGUCCUGGUAUCCUGUAAUGAAGGUCUGAAUAUCUGCAGAUUGCAAACUGAAGUAAAACAGAUUGCAGCAGAAUGGCAAAUAGGUUAAGAAGCAGAAAAGAGCUGUUACUUUUUGCUGCAAUCACUAAGAAAAAUGUAAAAGGAUAGAAUCCACUUCCAUCUGCCUAGGGCUCAACCCUUAUUUUUAGGUUAUUUCUACUGUAAUGAUUUUGUCUUGCACACUCUCUCACGUAAGACAUUAAAUAAUGCUGAGUUACUGAUGUGCCAGCUAUGGUAUCCAGUAGUUACCGAAUAUAAACCCGAGUGUUUGCUUUCUCCAAGUCUUUGCCUCGGUAAUAUCUUUAAACAUAAUAGCCUCUGCCUGUUGGCUUGUUUUCUCAUGGGGAGGGUGACAGAACAUUUUGUGUUCUCUUAUCUUCAAUAGCAAUGAAACAGGAGGAGCUCCACAAUGCGAAACCAAAUCUACUGCUAUUAAUACAACAUCCCAGCCACAGAGAAGAGAUUUGUUUAUUUAUCAAAGCUAGAGAUGCCUCUCUCUGACCUUUCCAGAGCUUGUGUGCUUUAGCUGGGAAUAGAUUCCAUAGAACUGGAUGCUCUUUUUAAAAAUAUACAAUAAAAAACUUACCCCUGUCCCUGAAACAGAGCCAAGGCUCUAUCCCCAAUUACAUGAAAUGCCCUGUAACUUUGAAUAUUUAGAUUCUAACCAGGGCAACAGUCCGUAUUCAGUUUUGAUUACUUUGCAGCUGCACAGAGACCAACCAGCUUUCCAAAGCCCACUCGCCUUUCUUGCUGCCACUCAGCGGCACGCUCAGCUGGCUGUAACCAUACAUGGGCCCCCUUCUCUCGGAGGCCUAACAUCUGCCUGCAGCCUAAGAAACCUGCCAGUAGAGCUUGUUUUUUUGUUGCAGAAUUAAAAAGUGUUACAGACUGUACAGUUUUGUUAAUUUUUCUUCUUUUUUUUUCUCCUUGGCCAUCGAGUUCCCCAGCUCAGCAUGUCGAUUCAAACACCGCUCACUUGGUACCUGCUCCAUGACUGCUCGGUAUUUCAGCCUACACAGACUGUUAAUGAGUUACAGAAGCAAACCUGCGAGUAGGAACUAGAAGCCCUACAUGUCCUGAUUCCAAGGCAAUAAUCAUAUUAUAUAAAGGGAAACCAAUAUUUAUGCCAUCUCCUCCUCCUCCAACAGUUACAACAGAAGGCAGCACACAGCCCUUGGAAGACCCAGUCUUACCUGACAGCUGUGCUCGGAGUGUGCCUGCUUAAUGGGGCCCUUCCAAAGACCAGGGCUUGUGGCCGCCUUUGUGAAAUCCCACCAACUGGGUUGGUUCCCCUCUCUUACCUGAUGUCCCUGCUCCUGGGCAGCUGCAGCAUCCCUCAGCCGUGUUGGUCCAGCGCCCACGCAGAAUUGCCAGCCGCAUCACCGAGCUGUUCACCUGAAAGUAACUUUCCAGUGCCUGUACCCAUGUAAUGAGGGAAAGUAAAGGGACUGAAACUGGCACCAAGGUGUAAGGUGGGAGCACCGCUGCUUCUUUGGGUAGAAGUACCAGAUUUGGGGCCGGGUCUGUGAGCUUUUGGGCUAACCCCGAGAAGCCUGAGAACAAACUUUGCUUUCAGUACAUCAGAACACCAUGCUCAAGUCAGAGGAAAGUUUUUUUUGCUUCCUUCAGUUUAGUGUCUCCUGUGAAGCUGAUUCCCACAGAUCAAGAAAAGCAUAGCAUUUUUAAAACAAAACAUUUGUUAACUAAGGAUUUCCUGGAUUUUUCUGCUUUCUUAUUUACACUGUGAUCUGGACACUGUGAAACCACUGUUUAACUUCCAGUAUUAUUUAUGGAAGCCAGGCUGUUGCUGUUUCCAGCCCUUACAGAGAACUUUCAGUUUGCAGUUUCAGUACCAGGUGCACAACCCUGGCUUAAGUUAAUCAGCUGAAAAGUAACACACCGUAAGUACACAACCCUCUGGAGCCCUGUCUGAAGCUCCACAGGUAGGGCCUUUUUGCAGGCUGUAAGCUACCUCAGUAGUCGGGGUCCCAAAUCAAGAAAGCUCCACGUCAGUGAGAUCAGAACUUGGGAUUGUCCAGCCUUUUCGAUGCAGCAGAGGUAGGUACUAGUUUGGAAGCGUUCCUAUUGUGCACAGAGAGAAAUUUGAAAUUUUGCUAGCUCACUUAUCAAUACAAAAGACUUCAUGCCUGAGCACAGAAACAGAUUUUAGGAAAUGAACCAUUUUUAUGAGACUUUGCAUGUUACAACUACUGAUCAAAACUCUUCAAUUCACAAUAGAAAGAAACAGGCAAGGAAUAAUGAUUUAAGCAAACUGGAUCCAGCUUCUGUGCUGUCAGCGUGACUACUCUGACUUACAACCAUGGUGAAAAAAUCAGUUUGAAGUGUGACCUCCCCCCAGCAUAUGGGCCCUGGGUGUGCAUGCUGCAGCAUUAUGUGCUACCUUUCACAGCUGCAUAAACUAAGUGCAAAGUAGUUUGAAAUUGUUAGAAAAACAGAAAUCAAGAUUUUUAAUUAUUUUGCAUGAGUAAAAACGACCAUGUGUAUGGUACAAAGUAGUACAGAAUCAGGUCAAUGAAGUUCACGUGACUGCUAUCUGAGCGAGGUUGUUAAUGAUUGCACAAUAGGGAGCUUUAACGAACAGAAAAGGAUGAGAGAGAGCAACAAUAAGUAACUUAUUGAAAACUCAGUUCGGGUGCUCCUUUACCUUACAGUUCUCCUGUCCCACACCUGCAGCUUUCUGUCACCUGGCAGAAGACCUGGCAUCAUUGCACAAACUUCACCAUCACACCAACAUCAGUUACAGCCACCAGAAGUCUUCUAGGAUGACAGAUAAAGGUUAGAGCCUGCUGAUGACCCAAGUGGAUGUCAGUAGGAUGGAAUACCAUUACUUUCAAAUGCUUUUUUGAAAACCUGGGGAAACACAUCCCCAAAGUCUUUAUUUAAAAGUAUUAAGGCUACAAAAUCAAACACUUGCUCAAAUUAGAAAAUGCUGGGUUAGAAAAAGAAGCCCGGAAUCACGUAAUUAAAGAUUACUUUAGGGUACAUGCAUGGAAAGGCAACCUUUCUUCUGGCAUUUUCUAACUUCAGUGUGCUUGCAAAUUAUUCAUAUUUUGGCAAAGAUGUUGGAUAUGUAAAAUGUAUAUAUUAUAUAUAGAACCGUAUUUCUCUCUGAUAUAUUUUUGUCUCAUAAAUGCAGU